CCCCCCGGGGGUGACGGGGGCGCUGGGGUGGCGCUCCCUGGUUCCGGGGCAACAGCCCUUUUUACUGCAGGGCAUCCUGGCCUCUCUGCACACCCGGAGCAGCCGCGACUGAGAGCCGCCCUGUCCCUAGCCUGUGAGCUGGAGAGAGAGGUGACCUGAAAUGCCGCGCUGACAGCAAGGGAAGCAGGACGACCGGCUCAGGGACAGGGCUCCCUCCAGUGCUUUUAAGAACCUCGGUGCUCCCUCCUACCCUUUGUCCGGAGCAAAGGGCUUACUUACAUAAACCUGGAUUUAUUCCCAAAAAAGUACUUCCUGUUACUUGGAUCAGAAGUCACUGCAACUCCUGGCACUGAGAGCCUCAUUUUUUAAAUUGUGAGUCUCUUUUCUAAUGUUCUAGGGAACAUGAGCUGACCACCUGCCCCGUGGCUUCAUCGCCCUGGCUCUGGUCUAUCCUUUGUACAUUUUGCCGGAAUGUCAUCCUGAACAAGAAAGUUGAGCAGGUAAAUAGAGUCUACUGGGGUGAGCUGUAUGAGAAACUAUGAUGUAGCACCCAGCCUACUCCAAGCACCUGACCACAUGCGCAAUGCAGGAUGUUUCUUGAACAGGAGCGUCUUUGGUGCUACCUAAUCAGAAUGCCUCACCGAGGACUGAAGAUGGGUGUAACACAAUGUCAAUACUUUGCUUUCUGGAAUGUCAUCAGCCUUGACUUGUGCAACAGAAAUAAAGUUAUGGGAACGUGCACAGUUCUGACAACAUGGGACUUACAUGGGCUAAGACAUCAUAAAGGCUUUCAUCAAAACAUCGGGCUUUCUUCUCCACCCUAUUCAGCCUAUGGACAUAAAGAAGUUCUACCCAGAGGUAAAACUGACCUCAGGUCUUGGUC